UCUUUCUCUAUUUUUAAAUGGUUUUGUGUGUUUUUUUGUUGUAGUAAUACAACAAUCACACUAAAUAUAAUGGCAUGAUUGUUAUUUUGUGAUAGCGUUUUAGGUUUACCAACUACGUUUCUCCAAAGCAACAAAGGUCAGGCCUAUAUAACAACCUUCAAAAAU
rnacentral:misc_RNA from 1 species